ensembl:lncRNA ITGA9-AS1 ITGA9 antisense RNA 1
GCCGCGGGCUCUGCCCGCUCGCCUGCUCGCCUGGUGGGGGAGAGGGGAGCGGGGCCGACACAGGACUGCAGUUGACAGCAGAUAACUGAAAGCUCGGAAAGCGAAACCGUGGAUAAGCAGGGGAACUGUGGCAUCCCAUUUAAAAUUGCUUCUGAAGAGAAGCAUGAGGUUACAUCUGUAAUCUCCCUGCAGCAGAGUCAACUGCAUAAGAAACCAAAAGACACACCUGCUCCAUGCCAGGUUAGUACCCACCCAUCACCCUCAUAAUUUUGCCAAAACUUUAGAUAUGUUUGUGAGUAUUAGCCAAGUAUGUGUAUUAAAAAUCUGUCUUCCCA